GACGAACGCUGGCGGCGUGCUUAACACAUGCAAGUCGAACGGAAAGGCCCCUUUGGGGGUACUCGAGUGGCGUACGGGUGAGUAACAUGUGAGUAACCUGCCCUUGACUUCGGGAUAACUUCAGGAAACUGGGGUUAUUACCGGAUAGGAAUCCUUGCUGCAUGGUGGGGGUUGGAAAGCUUCGUCGGUUUUGUAUGGACUUGCGGCCUAUCAGCUUGUUGGAGGGGUAGUGGUUUACAAAGGCUUUGACGGGUAGCCGGCCUUGGAGUGCGACCGUCAACAGUGGGACUGGGACUCAGCCCAGACUCCUACUGGAGGCAGCAGUAGGGGUUAGUGCACUAGGGGCGGGAGCCUGAUGCAGCAACAGCACGGGCGGGAGGACGGCCUUCGGGUUGGAAUCCUCAUUCAGCAGGGGCGGAGCUUGUGGUGACGGUACCGGCAGAAGAAGCACCGGCUAACUACGUG
rnacentral:rRNA from 1 species